ensembl:snRNA U6 U6 spliceosomal RNA
GUGCUUGCUUUGGCAGCACAGAUAUUCUUUGGAAGACUAGCACGGCCCCCAUGCAAGGCCGACACGAAAAUUUGUGAAGUGCGCUAUAUUUUC